GACGAACGCUUGCGGCGUGCUUAACACAUGCAAGUCGAACGGUAAGGCUCCAGCUUGCUGGGGUACACGAGUGGCGAACGGGUGAGUAACACGUGGGUGACCUGCCCUGCACUUCGGGAUAAGCCUGGGAAACUGGGUCUAAUACCGGAUAGGACCGCACCGUGAGGGUGUGGUGGAAAGUUUUUUCGGUGUGGGAUGGGCCCGCGGCCUAUCAGCUUGUUGGUGGGGUAAUGGCCUACCAAGGCGGCGACGGGUAGCCGGCCUGAGGGGGUGGACGGCCGCAUUGGGACUGAGACACGGCCCAGACUCCUACGGGAGGCAGCAGUGGGGAAUAUUGCACAAUGGGCGGAAGCCUGAUGCAGCGACGCCGCGUGGGGGAUGACGGCCUUCGGGUUGUAAACUCCUUUCACCAUCGACGAAGGGUUUCUGACGGUAGAUGGAGAAGAAGCACCGGCUAACUACGCGCCAGCAGCCGCGGUAAUACGUAGGGUGCGAGCGUUGUCCGGAAUUACUGGGCGUAAAGAGCUCGUAGGUGGUUUGUCGCGUCGUCUGUGAAAUUCCGGGGCUUAACUCCGGGCGUGCAGGCGAUACGGGCAUAACUUGAGUACUGUAGGGGAGACUGGAAUUCCUGGUGUAGCGGUGAAAUGCGCAGAUAUCAGGAGGAACACCGGUGGCGAAGGCGGGUCUCUGGGCAGUAACUGACGCUGAGGAGCGAAAGCAUGGGGAGCGAACAGGAUUAGAUACCCUGGUAGUCCAUGCCGUAAACGGUGGGCGCUAGGUGUGGGUUUCCUUCCACGGGAUCCGUGCCGUAGCUAACGCAUUAAGCGCCCCGCCUGGGGAGUACGGCCGCAAGGCUAAAACUCAAAGGAAUUGACGGGGGCCCGCACAAGCGGCGGAGCAUGUGGAUUAAUUCGAUGCAACGCGAAGAACCUUACCUGGGCUUGACAUAUACAGGAUCGCGCCAGAGAUGGUGUUUCCCUUGUGGCUUGUAUACAGGUGGUGCAUGGUUGUCGUCAGCUCGUGUCGUGAGAUGUUGGGUUAAGUCCCGCAACGAGCGCAACCCUUGUCUUAUGUUGCCAGCACGUUGUGGUGGGGACUCGUAAGAAACUGCCGGGGUUAACUCGGAGGAAGGUGGGGAUGACGUCAAAUCAUCAUGCCCCUUAUGCCCAGGGCUUCACACAUGCUACAAUGGUCGGUACAGUGGGUUGCCAGUCCGUGAGGGCGAGCUAAUCCCGCAAAGCCGGUCUCAGUUCGGAUCGGGGUCUGCAACUCGACCCCGUGAAGUCGGAGUCGCUAGUAAUCGCAGAUCAGCAACGCUGCGGUGAAUACGUUCCCGGGCCU
rnacentral:rRNA from 1 species